AAAAAUUUAGUUAAAAUAUAACAUUAGUUUGUCAAACUAAAAUUAUUAAAAUUAAUAAUUUUUA
rnacentral:tRNA from 1 species